CUGCUGCCUCCCGUAGGAGUUUGGGCCGUGUCUCAGUCCCAAUGUGGCCGUCCACCCUCUCAGGCCGGCUACUGAUCGUCGCCUUGGUGGGCCGUUACCCCGCCAACAAGCUAAUCAGACGCGGGUCCAUCUUAUACCACCGGAGUUUUUCACACUGGGCCAUGCAGCCCCGUGCGCUUAUGCGGUAUUAGCACCUAUUUCUAAGUGUUAUCCCCCUGUAUAAGGCAGGUUACCCACGCGUUACUCACCCGUCCGCCACUAAGA
rnacentral:rRNA from 1 species